UAUAUAUAUAUAUAUAUAUAUAUAUAUAUGAUGGGAUAUCUAUAUAUAUGGUAUGUUAUAUGUUGGGAUAUAUAUGUGUAUAUAUAUAUAUCUAUGGUUUGGUGUAUGUUGAGAUAUAUAUAUAUAUAUAUAUAUAUAUAUAUAUGUGUGUGGUAAUGAUAUAUGAUGGGGUAUGUAUGCAUGCAUGUGUGUGUGCAUGCACACUAACAGCUUUCAGUCAUUCUUCUCUAAUUCUAUUUAUUCAAAAACCCAUUUAUAAUUAGCAAUGGUCUCUGAAAUUUGUGGCAGAAGUACAUUUUGUUCUGAGAUGUUUGUGUUUGCCUGUGCACAUGCCUGCAUGUGUGCAUGUAGUGAUGAAAGAAAUGCAAGCAGAUAGUUGUCAAAUUUCUGUUGAAUUAAAGUGAAAUGCUGUUUUGUACAUAUACCUGUGAAUGUGUGUGUGUGUGUAUAUAUAUAUAUAUAUAUAUAUAUAUAUAUAUAUAGAUAUAGAUAUUUAUAUAUAGAUAUAUGUAUAUAUCUGAAUAGUAAAUAGGCAUUCAUUUUUGAAAGAUUUAUUUCUAGAAAAUGAUGUUGACCGAGGCAUUAAGUAUUUAGAAGAUCUGCCUUGUGCAAUUUUUCAUAAUUUAACCCAUUCGGGCAUUAUACUAAUUAGUAGUGUCCACAUAAAAUGGUGUGUGUGAUGUCUAUUUACUUUUGGUAUGUGUGUGUGUGUGUGUAUAUAUACAUAUGUAUAUAUGCACACAAAUAUAUAAGCAUAUGUGUGUGUAUGUAAUACAUUUCUAAACCAAGUGUUACUGAAGAUGACAUAAUUUGUUUUGGUUAAGUCAAAAAUAUGACUUGCUGUGUAAUGUAAGCAAGAGAUUUACGGUUCAAUUCUUCGUCUGUGGAUUUGUUUUUUUGUUUUUUUUUUUCUGAUAUGAAUUUGUUUACAAAUGUAUGCUUAAUAUUUUUUUAUAACAAAAUUUUAGUUACAAUAUCUGUAUAACUAUGUAUAUAUAUAUAUAUAUAUAUACAUAUAUAUAUAUAUAUAUGUGUGUGUGUGUGUGUGUGUAUACACAUCUGUAUAAACAUAUGCAUGUGUAUAUAUUUGUGUUUAUAUGCUCAUCAUGCAUAUAUGUAUAUAUGCUCAUGUAUGUACAUCCAUUUGCACAUAUAUAUAUUCACACACACACAUGUACAUAGUAAAUUGGAUGAAGUAGUGUGCCAUAUUUUGGCCAGUGGGGGCUAUCUUAAUAAACCAAAAUGUUUGGGUCAUUUUGGAAAGAAUGAAUGAAGUAUAUGGAAAAGGACAAAGAGAAACCCUUUCCCAUUUUCUCUCUCAGAUUCUGGUGAAAAAUAAAAUAAAAAAUAUUUAAAAAAAUUUAACAAUUGACAAUUUAAAAAAUAUAUAAAUAUAUAUUUAAGAGAAAAAUUAUUUUAUGUAAAAAAAAAAUUAAAAAGUAUAAAUGCUGAAAAAAAAUAUAUAAUUAUAAAAAAAACUAAUUAGAUUUUCUUCUGUAGAUUCCUGGAGAAAGGAAGCUGAAAAAAAAAAAGAUUUCAUGUUUUCUCUACUCUUUUCUCUUUGUCUUUCGUCUUCUCUUUCCUUCUCUCUCAGUAAAGAAAGAGACAGAAAUUUCCAAUGUAAAAGUAGUUUCAAUAAUGUUAGAAAUUGUUCGUUCCUCCAAAAUAGCAAAACCUUCUGCAUUUCCAGAAAGCAAAAAAAUUUUUAAAAACUAAAAAAAUGAAGGUUUAAACUUGAAAAAAAAAUACAAUUUAACCCCAGCUGUGAUAUUUUCUGCAAUGCUGUUUUUUUUUUAAUUCUUUUUUUUCUUCUGUGAAUUAAGUGAAUUAAUUAAUACCAGUAAACAGACAGGUGAGAAAAUAGACUUUCUGGUCAUCCUCUGGACCAGAAACAGACAGGUGAGAGAGCAAAUAAACUUUCUGGUGGCCCUCUGAUAUGGCUACAGAGAACUGAACUAUUAUUAUUAUUAUUACCUUAUGAGAAAAUGAAGGAUGGAAGCAAAAGAAAGAAAAAAAAUUAUUGGAUGUCGUGUUGGUCAUUAAUUUAUGAAUGUAUAUUUGUUAAUGAGUGAUUCUGGCUUUGCUGGAGCACUGGCAUGAAUUGGUGUGUUUGUGUGUGUGCAUAUUUAAUCAGAGGAUGUGAGUGUUUAACUACAGAAAGAAACCAAAAAAAAAAAAAUCCUGAAAAAUACAAAAAGAAAACAUGAAAAGCUAAUAUAUAUAUAUGUAUGUGUGUGUGUGUGUGUGUGUGUAUAUAUAUAUAUGUAUAUAUGUGUGUGUGUGUGUGUAUAUAUAUAUAUAUAAAUUAAAAAUUUAUUCAUGCAUGGGGAAGUGUAUACGGUGAAAUUCGAGAUGUAUUUUAAGAGAAAAAGAUAUAUAAUAAAAUUUAAAUUUACUAAUUAUAUAUAUAUAUGUAAGCAAACAAGACAUUUUAUAUUUAUUUAUAUAUUUAUUUUAUUUAUUUGCUAUUAUCAGAGUGAAUGUGAAGAACGAAAACAGGUUUAUGUAAUUUAUUACCAUUAUUAUUAUUACUGUUAAUAGCAAUGGUUUGGCUGAAUCGUUAAAGCGUCAGAAAAUUAUCUUGUAUUUGUUUCAGCUCUUUAUGUUGUAGGUUCAAAUUCCACCAAGGUCAAGUUUGCCUUUCAUCCCUCCUGGGUUGAUAAAAUAAAGUACCAAUUAAGUACUUAGGUAAAUAGUGAUGACUAGCCCCCCCCCCCCUUACCUUCAAAAUUGCAAGCCUUGUACAUAAAUUAGAAACAAUUACUGUUACUAUUACUACCACUAUUAUUAUUAUUCAAGGCAGUGAGCUAGCAGAAUCGUUGACAUGCUGGACGAAAUGCUUAGUGGUAUUUCACCCAUUGUUGUAGUCUGAGUUCAAAUUCCGCCAAGGUUGAUGUUUGCCUUUCAUCCUUUCUGGGUUGAUGAAAGAAGUACCAGUUGAGCACUGGGGUUCAAUCAACUUAACCCCUCCCACAAAAUUACUGGCCAAAAAUUUGAAACCAUUAUUAUUGUUACUACUACUAAGGGUGGCAGAAUCAGAAAAUAAGUUCUGUGCAGUAUUUGUUUCCUUACAUUUUGAGUUCAAACCCUGUCAAAGUACUAGAGGGACGGAUGUAAUUGACAAACCUCAUUCCUUAAAAAUUGCUGGCCUUGUGCCUAAAUUAGAAACAUUAUUGGUAAUAGAUUGAUAGUGUUGUCUAAAAUGCCUUGUGGUAUUUGUUUUGAGUUUAAAUCCCACUAAGGUAGGCUUUGCCUUUCAUCCUUCCAAAUUAAAGGAGUUUGGAAUAAUGGACUUUUCCACUGCCUUCCCCCCUCAAAAUAUGAGGCCCUGUAUUAAUUCUUAACUUUUGUUAUAUGGAGGGGGGAGUGAAGACAGAAUAGGUUGUUAAAAAGUUUGGGGUGGGUGGGCAAGGAAAUAGGUUUUUGGUGGUGGGUGAAAAAGGUUAAAAAAAAACUAGUCCUAAAGAUGAGCUUUCACCUGUGUGCUUUGACUUUUCUGUGUCUUUUUAUGGCUCGUGUGUGUGUGUGUGUGUGAGUGAUCCUUGGCAAGCUGACUGCUUUAUAAACUAGUUUCCAUCCUGGAAGCUUUAAAUCAGAAUUGAAACAAGAUUUAUGAAGCUGUAAGCUAAUGAAUAAUAAAGGGUAUAUAUAUAUUUAUACACACACACACACACCCUUUAUGUAUAUAUAAUAUACCUUUUAUAUACACACAUACAUAAACACAAUGCACUUUCUUGUUCCUGUGGACACACACACACACACACAUGCCUACAUAUUUAGAAUUUCUGAGAAUUAUUAUACACUAAGUUUGGAUUAGGGUUCUCAUCUUGAUUGUUGUAGUUAUGUUUUAACCAUUGCAGCCUCUACCUUCUUUGGGACAGCAGGAAAGAGCAUUAUAAUAGUUUAAAUUGGGAGCACAAGUUAAAUUCCUGAGCCAGUCAAACUGAUAUAUAUAUAUAUAUAUAUAUGUAUAUAUAUAAAUCUGGUUCAAGAGUAACAAAUAGCACCACAAAUAUUAAGAAUAACUAAUGGCGAAUAUCCCUUGUAAGGACAACUGAAUGUAAACAAUUGACCCUUAUGGGGGUGGGUGCUUCUGCAAAAAUGUAACUAUAACAGUCAAAAUGACACUUGUGUGUUCUACACAUGUGCUCUGUCAUAUGUUGUUGUACAGUAAGUGCUUUAAAAAAAGAAAAUCUUUAUGCAAAUGCUAUAAAUUUUAUUAAAUAAAAACUGAACUUUGAGUUUUUAUUUACAUCAAAUAUUCAGAGUGUGUGUGUGUGUGUCUACACAAAGAUAUAAUUAUAUUGAAUGCAUUGAAAUAGUUGCUAUUCAAUUUAGAUGAACCUUACUUAAGAGCUGCCUGGAGGUGUCUUCACUUUGUUGGCCCUUGCUGACUCCUUGGACAUUUUCUUCUGUCCUACCUGACUCUGAGCAGGAGACAAGAUCCAUCAUUAGCUGAAGCUGUAUUAUGGACAACAUAUCAGUUGUUCCCUUCCAAGCUUCUAACAAACAUUGAAAUUAAUAUUUCAUGCACUUUGUUGUGUUGUGACAUUAAUAGAUUCCUAUUUUUGUGUGCAUCUAAAUUUCAUUUAAAUAUUAUUUUACAGUAAUUUUGAUUGGUUAUCACAAUUCAACUUAUUUUCAAAAGUUUGUAUAAGAACUUAUCGGCAUGUACAUCACACACACACACACACACACACACAUAUAGGUAGAAUCAACAAAAAAAAGUACUCCAUCUAGUGACUGAUAAAUAUCAAUUUAAAACAUGACUGAAAGAGCUACUAAUAGUUUCAUGCUUUUAGUUAAAGUAUCAUAAAAGCAUGGAACUAUUAGUAGCUCUUUUGGUUCUGUAUCAAAUUUGAUUCCUUGCAGUGCAUCAUGUCAUUGAGCAAGAUUCUUUGUUUCAUGGUGCUUCAGCUGGCAAAAAUGAGUGGUACCUGUAUUUCAAAGGGUCAGCCUUGUCACAUCUUGUGUCACGCUGAAUCUCCCUGAGAAUUACAUUAAUUUCAUGUGCAGGAUGUUCUACUGAUUGGAUCAAGUGGAACCCUCGUAACCAAUGGAGUGCCUAUUUUAUCUAUCAAUAUGUAGACACACACACACCUUGCCUCUUCUCUGUGUGUCCACAGCUGCUGCACACAGCCAGCCAUGUUGUGUUAACCCCAUCUUCAGAACUUUGACUGUGGACUGAAGUCAAUGUUUUGAACAGACAGGCUGCUGUGAGCUUCAUGUAUUUCAAUAGAACAAGGUGGAGUAUUUACUUCUGAAAAUCAAAUUGGUUUUUUUUGUUGUGUUUGUUUGUUUUUUUGUUUUUUUCUUUCUCUCUAAAAACAAAAUAAAAAUCGAUAUGUUCACACCUGCAUACACCUAAUUUUAUGUGCAUUUAUGUGUGUGUGUGUUUUUACAAUUUUCAUCUUCAGGCAAUUAUGACUGCAUAAAAAGCUUAAGCAUUAGAGGUUCAAAGGAAAAUAUUAAAAUGUUUAAAAAACAAAAAAAAAAAAAAACAGCAACCUGUCAUCUUUCAAAGUUACAACCAUUAUUUCUUUAUUUUGUUUCAGGUGAUGAACAGCAACCUUCAGUUGCCAUUCUUCAUCUUUGUAAUUGUCUGUCUCUGUUUGCUUUCUUUCUUUCUAUUCUCCCUUGGCAUCUAAGUGUUUCCAGGUUAUUAAAUUUUUUUUUUUUUUUUUCAAAUUGCUGCUGCUGCUGUUUGGCUCCCAGUCAGUCUUGACUGAAGCAAACUAUGAUCAUAGGCAUACUAACCAUGACCAUCUCCCAGGGUAAUAUUGACUGACAAUAUUUUUUUUUUGUUUUUUGUUUCAAUCAUUGAACUACAGCCAUGCUGGGGCACUGCCUUGAAAGUGUUUGAUCAAACAAGUCAACCCCAGGACUUAUUUUAAGUCCUGUACUUAUUCUAGUAGCAUCUUCACCGAACCACUAAGUUACAGGUGAUGUAAACAAACCAGCACUAGUUGUCAAGUCUUGUGGGGACAAACACAAAAGCACACGUGUGUGUGCACACAGACACACGCACACAUGUAUGUAUACACCAUGGGCUUCCACAGUUUCUGUCUACCAAAUUCACUUACAAGGCAUUGGUCAGCCUGGACUGUAGAAGACACUUGCUCAAAGUGUCACCCACUGGGGACUGAACUCAGUUGCAUAUGCUUGCAAAGCAAAUUUCUUAACAUCAUGGCUAUGCUAAGUUGGGUUGUUGUUUUUUUUAUCUUUGUAUGACAGGACACAAUUGAUUUUGUGGGUCAUGGUGGAAUAGAAAUAAAUUGGAACCUGAUUUUUUUUUUUUUUUUUUUUUAACUACUUAGGACUAAUGGAACCAUUUCCCAACAGUGUCAUUCCUGGAAUUUUGUUUUCACUAUUUUUGACAUUCUGUUUUGAGCAAAAUCUAGUGUUUGUUUUACCUCCAGUAAAACUUUCAGUAAACCUUGAGGAGUACAUUUAACUGACUCCAUAAUAUGCUUGUUAAUCUGAAAAUCUCUACCAGAUUAGGUGUUAUCUGGAAGGAACCAGCUCACAGAUUGACUUGAUCUAGCUUGGUUCCAUGUGGUGAUGUCUUAGUUUCUUUGCACAAAAUAUCCACAACAAGAGCAUCUUUUUGAGCCUCACUUAUCACAAAACCAAUUGUUGCCUUUGUGGUAGCACCAAGUGGAUUUGUUGUUAUAACCUGUUGUAAUAUUUCUGGCAAAAGAACAUUCUCAAGCAUUCUAGCCGUUCUUAGAUUGGAUACUACAGAAUGAGCCCACAAAUCCAAAGAUUUGUUUUUUGGGGUUGGAGAAAUCCUUUAAAUAAGGAGCAUAGGAUUCCUUACCUCCUUUCUCAGUUUCUGCAGGAUUCUAAUAUCAUUAACAACUAUUUUAAUGAGGACCAGCAGCAUGAUGUUGGUAAUGUGUUUCCCUGUGAUUGAUGCCAAGUGUCCUAAAUCAUGCAGAAUGGGCCAAUUUGCAAAUCUCGAUUGAACAGCACAGCUGACAGCUGCUAUUAAACCCUAACCCUAACCCCAGUCUUCCAGGUAAUCCUGGUUUACUGGGGAUCCACUCUUGGCUGGUUCUUUUUGUGACUAAAAGGACCACCUUCACAAUGAUUUGGAUCUUAACACAGUUGUAAAUUAAUAAAGUUGAUUCAGUUUAUAUGUAGGAAUCAUCUGAUACAUGGUGGCACACCAGAAAAAAAUGCCCCCCAAGACAAUCUCCAGGGUUCAAGUUCCAUCAUGGAGUUCAUGCAUAAAUGAUAUGGGUGAUCUCAGAGCCCUAAAGAGGUCAACCAUAUGUAUAAUUGAUCCAUUUGUCCUUAUAGUAAUUCCAAAAGAUUCCCGCACACCCAAACAAAGUUUCCGUAAAUCCCUAUAUGGCUACUACCAUGUAAUCAAUCUGACAGGGACUUCCUUCCAGAAGAGUAACUUUGAUAUGCUGUCCUAGUUUCGAUAGGAAGGUCAGGUUUGCUGGGGUGAUUGGCAAAAUAUACAUUGGGGUAUUUGCCUGGUGAGCCAGAAGUAUCCACUGCUUGAAAGUUCCCUGCAACUGCACAAAUUUUCACCAUCCUUGAAUAGCAUAAAAAUCAGUUGACACAUAACUUUAUGGAUGUCUAUGUAAUGUUAUGAAGGAGGUAGUUGAUUGUGAUUAGCCAAAAGGGUUUCGGCUGCAUCAAUAAUUUAGUCAUGCUCCCUUAUUGAUGCACGAAAUAUUUAUCUUCCCUGGCUUCAUUUCAUUCUUCCAUGUGAUGGCAAAUAUGACCCAAAGAAUGUUUUUUAAACAGCAGUAAUUAUACUAAUGUAGUUUAAGACUGGUUUAUUUUGAUGGAUUUGGUGGGCAAAGGGGAAAGAUAAGCAAAAAUACACUCACACACACAAACGUACACAAGCUGAGCACUGGCCCUCAAUAGACUUUAAAGGGCUUCGGGAAUGAGGCCUAAUUGUGCGUAUAUACACUCACUCACUCUUAAAAGACUAUCAGAGGUUAAGGAAUACUGUAGGGAUAUGCAUAUGUAUGUAUAUAAUCUCCACACACACGUGUGUGUAGAUAUGUUUACAUGUAAUAUAAAAUCAGCCAAAUGUACAAAUAAUCAGAUAACCCAUGGAAGAGUAUCUGAUUCUCAGUUAACUGAAAAAUUUUUGUUUGGGGUGUUUUCCCUAAACAAAAAUACAUCACCACCACCAACUACAAACUAAACAGAUGAUUAACAAGCUAUUUAUCCAAGGGCCCAUUUCUCUUCCUAUCUCUUUAAGGUUAUAUAAAUUCUGUAUAUGUAUGUGUGAAAAGGAGGCACCAAUUAUGAAAUUGAAGUGCACACACACUUAUAUAGAUAGAAAAUCACAGACACUUUAUUCUUGUUGAUGGUAGCCAUCCAUGACCAUCCUGUCAUUUUAAAAGUAUAUCUAGGAAUAUAUUAUCCAGCAUGUCCAUUCUUUUCCACCUAAAUUUGGAAGAGGGGGGGGUUGGCUGUUUCCUAGUAUGUGAUCUUAUAGGAACUAACUCCUCCUCAUUUAUUUAAUGUAUCAGUUCUGCCUGGUUAUUUUUGAUUCCAGUCACAACCACAUAUAGCAGCAGCAGUACAAAAAAAAAAAUUUUUUUUUUAAGACUUUCUGGAUAGCCACCUUAUUGUUUCCCCCCACCCCACCUACUCUAGCCAGGUUUGUUCUACAUGUUAUUUGUUGCCUACAAUAAUAAUAUUUGUUGUUUUGAAUUUUUUCCCUCUCCUCCACCACCUUUAUAUUUUUUCAUUGAAUUUUUUUUUUUAAAUCCUAUCCCCUCUAAAAAAUUUCAAAUAAAAGGCAAUAUACUACUUGCUUAUACGUACAUAUGUAUGUGUAUAUAUAUUGUGUAUGUACAUACACACUCACACACAAUGCGUGGUGUGUGUGUGUAAUUUCUGUUGACUUUAUUUUUUAAUUUUUUUUUUUAAAUACAAUUCUGUGGGAACAUUCAAAUGUACAACAACUACAAGAAAAAGAAAUCAUUAAAAAAUAUAUUGAAAAAAAAAGUGUUUAAAAAAAAAAAAAUGGCAGCUGCCAACCUCAACUUAGCAGAACUGACUGAACUGAUAUCAUGGUUACACAGGAAAGUGUACUCUGAUAUCUACAUACAUACUUCACUUGCUAUACAUACGUAUACACACACCACUUCUACACAUGCUUUCCUUCCUCUUACAACAUUACCAAUCAAAAAAAGAAACCCCAUGUGCAUAUAUAUAUAUAUAUAUAUAUAUAUAUAUAUAUAUAUAUAUAUAUAUAUAUAUAUAUAUAUAUAUAUAUAUAUAUAUGUGUGUGUGUGUGUGUACAUACAUGUGUAUAUGUACAUGCAUACAUAAUGGAACUUGCAGGUAAGAUUAUUAACUGUGAACAUUUAAUAAACAGCAAAAAUUUCACCCGGAAUUUUUUUCCCCCCUCCUUGCAACUUGAUGGACAAUUCUCCCUACCCCCCUUUUUAAAAAAAAAAAAAAUCUGACUCCACAUCAAGUCAUUUGUACUUUUUGACUGUUUGUUCUGGACAGUUUUACCAUUUUGCUUCAAGUGCUUCUGUUACUUCAAAACAUGCCAGAAGCAGUCUCCCCCCUUCGAUUACCAAUGAGAAGUUUAUCUACUUCAGAGACUUUGUUAACCCGUCUAUAGAAAUUUAACUACCCAAACAAAGAUUUCCGAUUCUUGGGCAAUACAAGGAAUUAUGCAGUGCAGUGGCUUUGUUUGCAAGAGAGAUACAGAGAGAGAAGAAGCAUGAUUUGAGGAUGCCAGGCUGAAAACGGGAAGAGUGGCGGGAAAAGAGUCACGGUUGCUAUUUUAUUUUUUUUUUAAACCUCAAAUGAAACUGAGCUGGCAUCAUAAACAUACGGCAACUGAAAUUUCAAACUUUAAAAGCAAGCUGUAACUCCAUCCUGCCAUAUUUUAUUUGCGAUAAAUCCCUCUGUCCUUUUUCUUUUUUUGGUUGGUUGCAUGGUUGUUUAAGGGGACUGGCUAGAAGCUAAGAAAAUCUCAUUCCCACCCAUCCAGUCAUUUUUGUUAUAUUUUGACAUUAUAUGUUCUUAUAUGCAGAGAGGAAAAUAAAUUAAAUUCACUUACCAUGAGGUCAACCACUCCGUUCUAGUGCCAGGAAGGCAGCGCAUCUUAAGGGGAGACAACUCCUCUCAGUCUUAAGGGAGACAACUCAAUCCCUUCCCUCCUCACUCCCAAAAAGAAAAAAAAUUACCAGAAACUUCUCAAUAGCUUUUGAUUUAAACCAAACAGAAAAAAAAAAAAAAAAAAAAAAGGAAA